AUUGUCUAAAACACAUGAGUCACCUGAUGGAACUGGACAUAACCAGAAACUGAGUGUCUCUGACAGACAGCCAAAGGAUUAUGCUUCUAGUAUAUCUGGUAUGUCCCAUCAAAGUGCAAAGAAGAGAGAAAACGAAUAUAUAAAAAAUGUGGGACCUGUAUCUUCUUAUGAGAGUGGGGUCAAGAAACUUGAUAUUUGUUAAACCAAAGGAUAAAAGAAAAGUUUCAUCAGUGUCCCACACAUGUAUGAUUAAAGAAACAAACAAACAAAAAACCCUAAAAUAAACAAAAAACCUCCUUUAUAUAUUAGCUGCUAUUCUAAAAGCAUGUAUCUAAACAAAUUACUUCACAUGAAUUUCUUUGAAAAGAAAUAGUGUUUAUUUAGCCUGGAAUAAAAUGUAAGGAUGGAAGUAUGGACAAAAACUAUCAGAUAUGGGCUGGAAUUAUGGCUCAAUGGUAGAGUGCUUGCCUAGCAUGCAUGAGGCACUGGGUUUGAUCCUCAGAACCAAAUAAAAAUAAAAUAAAGAUAUUGUUUCCACCUAAAACUAAAAAAUAAGUAUUAAAAAAACUAUCAGGUAAUUUUUACAGUACAAUUUUCUGCAAAGAGCUAUGAUAAACAUCUACAAUGCUUGCACACUUUCCACUCAUAUUGUUUUUUAAUACAAUAUUUUGAUAAAAUUUGGCCCAAUAGACCAGUGUCUAUGUUUGCAUAGAUGUGUUGAAAUUUUUUAUAAAAAGCAUAAAAAAAGAUUUUAAAAGUAAUCAGUAACUCAGAUGUUUCUACUAGUGAAGUUCCCAAACUGGAGACAUUAACCCUAUUUGUGGGACUAUGAGGUGGUUUUACUUUCCCCACAAUGUUGUAAAAAGCUUAUUGGAGAGCUAGGCUGUAGUUUCAGGAAUUGUGAGACUGAAAAAAAACAGAUAUUGCUUGAACUCAGUAGGUCAAGGCUAUUCUGUGAAACACAAGAAAAACACAUCUAAAAGAACAUAUUGACUCUAUUAUAACACUCAGUAAAUCACCAGAUCCAUCAAGUAUUGAGUUCUCUUGAUGAAGGUAUAAAUUGGAAUUCUUAUGAUGAAGUGCAAAUGUGAUUUGUUCUGUUUAUGCACACUUUAUUCCAUGUUCUCCACCACUCAUGGGUCAAAUACUAAGUAAGAAAUUACUCAAUGUAUAAUCAUACAUACUUUAUUUUAAUCCCUUUCCUAUAAAUUGAAUACUGUUUAUGGGAGAAAAUACUUUCUUGGAAUUUAGACUAAGAGA